GCCACCACUCACUGUCUCCUUCUCUCUGACUCUCUCUCUCUCUCAUUUCAAACUCCAAAGUUUGCUAAAACCCAGUACUCUAAAACUUCCAUUCUCUGCAACUAACAACAAAAACAAACACCAGUUUUCAUUACAUAGUUUGUACUAUUUUUCAUUCUUACAAAACAUAGUACCUAUCAAUACCUAUGCACUAGCCUUGUUAACAGAAAAACACACCUACAGAGAGCUUUUACAAUGGUCCCAAUCCGAUUUCUGUUCCUAUCAUUUCUCUCAUUACUAUCAAACACUCUCAUCCCACUCUCCAAUGCUAAAGCUCAAUCAUUUUCACCAUCAAUAUAUGAAAUCCUUAAGGCUCAUGGGCUCCCAAUGGGACUAUUACCAAAGGGUAUCACAGACUUUGAUGUAGACACAAAUGGGCACUUUCAGGUGUACUUGGAUCAAGCUUGCAAUGCUAAGUUUGAAAGUCAAUUGCAUUAUGACAGAAACGUUUCUGGGACUCUAAGUUUCGGUCAGAUUGCUGGGUUGUCUGGUGUUUCGGCUCAGGAGUUGUUUCUUUGGUUUCCAGUUAAAGGGAUUCGUGUGGAUAUACCAAGCUCUGGUUUGAUUUACUUUGAUGUUGGAGUUGUGUUCAAGCAAUUCUCAUUGUCACUUUUCGAAACGCCGCCGGAUUGUAUGGAGUUGGCAACUACUAAUCUGCUGCUAAACCCCACCCAACAAGAAGUUGGACAAGUUUUUAAGAGUCAAUCUAGGAAGCUACGGUAUGAGCUUGGUCAGGAAGAUUUUGCGAGGGAUGUUGUGUAGCUUGUGAGGGGAGAGGGUGGUAUAAGUUGUGCGGCUCAUGAAUUCUUCCAUUCCCAUUGUAAAUGUCAUUGGAGAGUCUGGAUUAGGGGUUCUAUGCUUCAAUCCAGUGUGCUUGUUUCCAUUUUUCUUCCAUAUAGAUAGUGCAGAGUUCACAAACUAGCCAGCUCCUGUCUAUGAGAGGAUGGUCGGUGAAUUUGAUCGAGAGGGAAAAUAAGCAAGGCAGUGGAUGUCAUAAUCACCAGAUGCUUUUCCAACAGAAAAAGAAAAUGAGACAAGGCCAUCAAGUUGAGGCAAAUUCAGGUGUAAAUCUUGAAGGACUCUGUUUCCAUUUUCACAGAGUUUGAAGAAGGUUUGAUUAGUGAUGGUUAUGAGUGUAGAUGCCUACAAUGGUUUUUUUUAGGACUCUGUUUCCUUUCUCACAAUAUUGACUUUUCCUUUUUGGUUCUUAAUGUGCUUUUGGAAGCAGCUCUUUGCUGAUUGCUUAUUUGUUGAAAGUUGGUUAAAAUAUACUUGUACCUAGAUAAAUUGAGGAGUUAAAAAGUUGUACAUAAGCAAAUAAGCUAAAAGAAAAGACUUGUGGAAAACAGUUACACUUUUUCUUGAAUAUUAAAAUUUACUGAUUUCGUGUUCUUA